rnacentral:rRNA from 1 species
GACGAACGCUGGCGGCGUGCCUAAUACAUGCAAGUCGAGCGCAGGAAAUCGACGGAACCCUUCGGGGGGAAGUCGAUGGAAUGAGCGGCGGACGGGUGAGUAACACGUAAAGAACCUGCCCUCAGGUCUGGGAUAACCACGAGAAAUCGGGGCUAAUACCGGAUGGGUCAUCGGACCGCAUGGUCCGAGGAUGAAAGGCGCUUCGGCGUCGCCUGGGGAUGGCUUUGCAGUGCAUUAGCUAGUUGGUGGGGUAAUGGCCCACCAAGGCGACGAUGCAUAGCCGACCUGAGAGGGUGAUCGGCCACACUGGGACUGGGACAGGGCCCAGACUCCUACGGGAGGCAGCAGUAGGGAAUCUUCCACAAUGGACGAAAAUCUGAUGGGGCAACGCCGCGUGAACGAUGAAGGCCUUCGGGUCGUAAAGUUCUGUUGUAAGGGAAGAACAAGUGCCGCAGGCAAUGGCGGCACCUUGACGGUACCUUGCGAGAAAGCCACGGCUAACUACGUGCCAGCCGCCGCGGUAA